rnacentral:tRNA from 1 species
GCCGGCUUAGCUCAGGGGUAGAGCAACGGUUUUGUAAACCGUGGGUCGUGGGUUCGAAUCCCACAGUCGGCU